UACGUAGGGACCGAGCGUUGUCCGGAUUUAUUGGGCGUAAAGCGCGCGUAGGCGGCCGAUCGCGUCGGAUGUGAAAGCUCGGAGCUCAACUCUGAGAGGUCAUUCGAUACGGGUCGGCUAGAGGCAGGUAGGGGAGAUCGGAAUUCCUGGUGUAGCGGUGAAAUGCGCAGAUAUCAGGAGGAACACCGGUGGCGAAGGCGGAUCUCUGGGCCUGUUCUGACGCUGAGGCGCGAAAGCUGGGGGAGCAAACAGG
rnacentral:rRNA from 1 species